AUUGAACGCUGGCGGCAUGCUUUACACAUGCAAGUCGAACGGUAACAGGGUGCUUGCACCGCUGACGAGUGGCGAACGGGUGAGUAAUGCGUCGGAACGUGCCGAGUAGUGGGGGAUAACGCAGCGAAAGUUGUGCUAAUACCGCAUACGUACUGAGGUAGAAAGUGGGGGACCGUCGGGCCUCACGCUAUUCGAGCGGCCGACGUCUGAUUAGCUAGUAGGUGAGGUAAAGGCUCACCUAGGCGACGAUCAGUAGCGGGUCUGAGAGGCUGAUCCGCCACACUCGCACUGCGCCACGGCCCAGACUCCUAGGGGGGGCAGCAGUGGGGAAUUUUGGACAAUGGGCGAAAGCCUGAUCCAGCCAUGCCGCGUGUCUGAAGAAGGCCUUCGGGUUGUCAAGGACUUUUGUCAGGGAGGAAAACCCUAGUGCUAAUAACACUGGGGGAUGACAGUACCUGAAGAAUAAGCACCGGCUAACUACGUGCCAGCAGCCGCCGCAG
rnacentral:rRNA from 1 species